ACACGUGAUCGAGAAACAAACUCGUCUCACCUGCAAACAGAGGUCGAAAUCUGGGCAUUCUACACAUCUUACACGUAGGCCCGAGAUAUCCUCUUGACAAUAGGGUUCUUCCAGAACGAUCUGGAUGACGUCACCGCAUGCCAAAACCCCAGAAGUUUACGUAUCAUAUACACUGAACAUGCGAGCUUGACUCCAUUUUUUCCGCGAAAUCGUACGAAAACGCGGAAAAAUUGUGAUGCGUCCCUCGGACGCUCUAAUUAUCGUGUAAGAGCAAACUCGUUAGAAAUCUGAAUGGAAAAAAUGUUGUUUACGACUGUUGCGUCGCGAAACGAGUACGCAUGCGUUACCUCUCCUACCACCUCGGUAAACUACGCUCAGGUUCGCCAACUUUGCAAUAAUAAAAUUGUACACUUCCGAAACAUGGAUAUGAUGUAUUCGCGCGAAUUCAAAUAAAACAGCUUUGUUUUCGCAAUUUUCAAUUUUUUGUCUAUAUAAAGUGGGACAUCGUAUAUAAACAUGUGAAAUACAUUAGUAGGGGUUGAUACAAUCUCGGAAAUAUCAUGAAAUGUGAGUUAUAAGUACUUUUAAAAAUAUUUCUUUUCAAUUUUUAAUUUCUUUUCUAUUACAUAAACAUUACAUUAUAAAUUUAUAAUAAUGAAAAUGUUUAUGUAAAAUUUUUUUUCAGUAUUAUUAAAUAAUUUUGGAUAUAUUAAAUCACAUUUAUAGAUCGUACAGUCGACACUUUUUUAUAAGAAUAUAAUUUUAUUAUAUUGAUCUUAAUUUACAUGGAACAUCCAUGUUUCUGAUAAAACUUUACAGAAAUUGAAAUUAAAGCAAGCAAAAAUGCAGGUCUUAAAUCAAUUUUGAUAUAAAUACAAAAUGAGGUGAUAUAUGAUAAUUAAAUAAACUUGAUCAUAUAAUUUGAACGUAAUUACUUUUCAUUUAUUUAAACAGUGCGAUGAUAAUAAUCUUCCUACGCAUUUAAAGUGAUAAACGAGAAAAAAUAUUAUACUGGACGGCUUUAGUAUUUACUUUGUAUAACACAAUACAAGCAUUGGUUGAGAAAUUUCAAUAAAAUUCUAAAAAAUUUAUUAGAAUAAAAAAUAUAUUGAAUACUGACCAAUUGUAUAAUAUUUUUUAAUAAAAUCUUCAAUUGUAAUUUGGUCAUAAAUCACUUUUACUUAUUGUAAAAUAUUGGUACAUAAUAUGUUAUACACACACACAUAUAUAUAUAUAUUUUUUAAAUAUUUUACAAUAUAUAAAAUUUGGAAGAAAUUUUAAGGCACUUCAAUGCUCUGCAAAUACCAAUAUGGAAACGAAUGUAUUUUUUUAAUGAUAAAUUCUGUUUGAUGAAAA